UACGAAGGGGGCUAGCGUUGUUCGGAUUUACUGGGCGUAAAGCGCACGUAGGCGGAUCGUUAAGUCAGGGGUGAAAUCCUGGAGCUCAACUCCAGAACUGCCUUUGAUACUGAAGAUCUUGAGUCCGGGAGAGGUGAGUGGAACUGCGAGUGUAGAGGUGAAAUUCGUAGAUAUUCGCAAGAACACCAGUGGCGAAGGCGGCUCACUGGCCCGAUACUGACGCUGAGGCACGAAAGCGUGGGGAG
rnacentral:rRNA from 1 species